CGCAAUUUGUGAAUGGACUUUACGAGUCGAGAAGUGACAUUGCGAGAUUUAAGGAUAACAUAUGAGACUUCCUUGUACAAUCCAAAGAAUUCUCUCCUCAGGAUAACAAAGAUCUAUCUGUCGAAGAAGCUGCUGCUCAAUUGAGAGAGAUAUACAGAAUAUGCUUUUGAUUCCUGGUCUUAGUGCUCCAAACGAGAUUCAAGACGACAUGGCCGAUUCAUAAACUAUUUCGUAGGAUGAAUUUAUUCAAUGAAUCUUGUUUUUUAACAUCAAACGUUUCAUAUUUUAUUAAGCUAAAUCGAAUAUUUCAUAA